rnacentral:rRNA from 1 species
AAACCAACAGGGAUUACCUCAGUAACGGCGAGUGAAGCGGUAACAGCUCAAAUUUGAAAUCUGGCUUUUUCAGGGUCCGAGUUGUAAUUUGUAGAAGAUGCUUUGGGUGUGGCCCUGGUCUAAGUUCCUUGGAACAGGACGUCAUAGAGGGUGAGAAUCCCGUAUGUGACUAGGUGCUUUCGCCCGUGUAAAGCUCUUUCGACGAGUCGAGUUGUUUGGGAAUGCAGCUCAAAAUGGGUGGUAAAUUUCAUCUAAAGCUAAAUAUUGGCCAGAGACCGAUAGCGCACAAGUAGAGUGAUCGAAAGAUGAAAAGCACUUUGGAAAGAGAGUUAAACAGUACGUGAAAUUGUUGAAAGGGAAGCGCUUGCAACCAGACUUAGUUGCGGCCGAUCAUCUAGGGUUCUCCCUGGUGCACUCGGUCGUAUCUAGGCCAGCAUCGGUUUGGGUGGUGGGAUAAAGGCCUUGGGAAUGUAGCUUCUUUCGGGGAGUGUUAUAGCCCUCGGUGCAAUGCCGCCUACCUGGACCGAGGACCGCGCUUCGGCUAGGAUGCUGGCGUAAUGGUUGUAAGCGAC